rnacentral:rRNA from 1 species
CCUACGGGAGGCAGCAGUAGGGAAUAUUGCACAAUGGGGGAAACCCUGAUGCAGCGACGCCGCGUGAGCGAUGAAGUAUUUCGGUAUGUAAACCUCUAUUAGCAGAGAAGAAAAUGACGGUACCUAACUAAUAAGCACCGGCUAACUCCGUGCCAGCAGCCGCGGUAAUACGUAGGGGGCAAGCGUUACCCGGAUUUACUGGGUGUAAAGAGCGCGUAGACGGUACAGCAAGUCCGAUGUGAAAUCCUGUGGCUUAACCCUAGGACUGCAUUUGAAACUGUAAGUCUAGAGUGUGGGAGAGGCAGGCGGAAUUCCUGGUGUAGGGGUGAAAUGCGUAGAGAUUAGGAGGAACACCAGUGGCGAAGGCGACCUGCUGGACGAUAACUGACGUUGAGGCUCGAAAGCGUGGGGAGCAAACAGGAUUAGAUACCCGAGUAGUC